GGGAGGUUACCCGAGUGGCCAAAGGGGACAGACUGUAAAUCUGUUGCGCAAGCUUCGAAGGUUCGAAUCCUUCACCUCCCA
rnacentral:tRNA from 1 species